rnacentral:rRNA from 1 species
GACGAACGCUGGCGGCGUGCUUAACACAUGCAAGUCGAACGGAAAGGCCCUGCUUUUGUGGGGUGCUCGAGUGGCGAACGGGUGAGUAACACGUGAGUAACCUGCCCUUGACUUUGGGAUAACUUCAGGAAACUGGGGCUAAUACCGGAUAGGAGCUCCUGCUGCAUGGUGGGGGUUGGAAAGUUUCGGCGGUUGGGGAUGGACUCGCGGCUUAUCAGCUUGUUGGUGGGGUAGUGGCUUACCAAGGCUUUGACGGGUAGCCGGCCUGAGAGGGUGACCGGCCACAUUGGGACUGAGGUACGGACCAGACUCCUACGGGAGGCAGCAGUGGGGAGUAUUGCACAGUGAGCGGAAGCCUGAGACAGAAACGCCGCGUGCGGGAUGACGGCCUUCGGGUUGUAAACCGCUUGCGCCUGUGACGAAGCGUGAGUGACGGUAAUGGGUAAAGAAGCACCGGCUAACUACGUG